rnacentral:rRNA from 1 species
AGCAGUCGCCACGGUAAUACGUAUGUCACAAGCGUUAUCCGGAUUUAUUGGGCGUAAAGCGCGUCUAGGUGGUUAUGUAAGUCUGAUGUGAAAAUGCAGGGCUCAACUCUGUAUUGCGUUGGAAACUGUGUAGCUAGAGUACUGGAGAGGUAGGCGGAACUACAAGUGUAGAGGUGAAAUUCGUAGAUAUUUGUAGGAAUGCCGAUGGGGAAGCCAGCUUACUGGACAGAUACUGACGCUGAAGCGCGAAAGCGUGGGUAGCAAACAGGAUUAGAGACCCCUGUAGUCCCUGUCUCUUAUACA